ACCAGGAUGGGCCGAGUGGUUAAGGCGUUGGACUUAAGAUCCAAUGGACAAAUGUCCUCGUUGGGUUCGAACCCCACUCCUGGUA